UCUUCUUCUUCUUCUACCUCUCUCUCCUCUUGUGCAAGUGUUGCUUCCUGGCUCUGCCAUCCAACUCAGAACCAUAAUGUGGCAUAUGCACCUAUGUGCCGUGGCAUCUGAAUCUUUUGUCGGAGCAUUGGCGCCGUCGUCGGUUCUUUGCCGGUCAUCAUCGAUCUGAGAGGAUGAGAUCACACCAGGAGUGCUUGUGAUAUGAGAGGUAUUGGCGUGUCUCAAUCUGAAGACAUGGUUGGAUGUUGAAACAGCCAUGUAAUUGGAUUGAGCCGCGUCAAUAUCUCUCUUCUUCACCGCAAGCACUCCAUUCCAAGGAAAAGGCUUCAGUUUGGCAUUGCCAUGCUUCUUCUCCGGCAUGUUUGUCUGAUAAAGCACCACAUCUUUAAGUUCUCAUGCAUGCUGGUUUAUCUGAUAAAGCGCCAUAUCUUUAGGUUCUCAUGCAUGCUGGUCAGCAAAAGUAGAUUCCCAUACCCUGUAACUCACACUAGUUUGCUGCUCCAGGGAAUCUUGUCUUGUGAAAGAGUACUGUUCUUUCCAUUUCAUUAAUGGUGCGUUUGAAGAAUUAGAUCAUCAAAACCUAAAGUGUUUCUGAUAAGGAAGGAAGCCUCUGUAAGCUAAAUGGAGGAAGACCUUUUACACUUAGUUUGUUGACAGAGGCAAAGUGAUGCUGCGCAGAGAAGAUGGUGUCAAAUCAGUGGUGCUUCUGCAGGAAUAAAUGCCUUUUGCCAUGGUAAAUCUGGGACAUGGUAAUAGAGUGACAAAUGUGUAAGAAUGGAUGGGGCAAUCAUAUGCCUCUAGUCUGAACCUAGUUGGAUACUACAAGUUCACAUUCAUGCUGGUUCUGUAUCAAAUUCUAGUGUUCUUGGAGAAAAUGUUCUGCUGAAAGAUAUAUUUGCAAUCAA